rnacentral:rRNA from 1 species
AACUUUCGACAACGGAUCUCUUGGCUCUCGCAUCGAUGAAGAACGCAGCGAAAUGCGAUAAGUAAUGUGAAUUGCAGAAUUCAGUGAAUCAUCGAAUCUUUCAACG